rnacentral:misc_RNA from 1 species
UAACUGCGAUAAAUAGCGUGAAUUGCAGACGCAUUGAACGCCAAACUUUCGAACGCACAUUGCGCCGUAGGAGUUCUACCCUACGGCACAUCUGGUUGAGGGUCGUGAACCAUACACACAGCAGACUAAGGGGCGGCUGCAAUAAAGAUGGCUGGUCAAUCAUAACGUCAGCGAACGCCUUCCGUUGACUAUGUUUGUCCAUAUUGUUUAGAGGGCGCUUUAUGCCCUGCCACACGGGCGGGCCGGGUAUCAGCUCACGCUAAUGGACGGCCGGUUGGGUAUUCUACUACGCUUUGUAUAUACCUAGCUGUGAGUCGUACAGAGCUGGCUCGGCACGCUAAUCGCCCUGUGCUUGGCGCAUUUCGCUAUCCCGACCUCAACUCAGGUGUGAUCACCCGCU